GUCCCUAUCUGCCGUGGGCGUUUGAGAUUUGAGAAGAGCUGCUCCUAGUACGAGAGGACCGGAGUGGACGAACCUCUGGUGUUCCGGUUGUGAUGCCAAUUGCAUUGCCGGGUAGCUACGUUCGGACAGGAUAACCGCUGAAAGCAUCUAAGCGGGAAGCCCCCUUCAAGAUUAGAUCUCACGGGAACUUGAUUCCCCUUAAGAGCCCUCGAAGACUACGAGGUUGAUAGGCGAGAUGUGUAAGCGCUGUAAGGCGUUGAGCUAACUCGUACUAAUUGCUCGUGAGGCUUGAUCAUAUAACUUGAGCA
rnacentral:rRNA from 1 species